UGCAGCGACGCCGCGUGCGGGAUGAAGGCCUUCGGGUUGUAAACCGCUUUCAGGAGGGACGAAAAUGACGGUACCUCCAGAAGAAGCCCCGGCCAACUACGUGCCAGCAGCCGCGGUAACACGUAGGGGGCGAGCGUUGUCCGGAUUUAUUGGGCGUAAAGAGCUCGUAGGCGGUUUGGUAAGUCGGUCGUGAAAGUCCGAGGCUCAACCUCGGAAUGCCGGUCGAAACUGCCAUGACUAGGGUUCGGUAGAGGAGAGUGGAAUUCUCGGUGUAGCGGUGAAAUGCGCAGAUAUCGAGAGGAACACCAGUAGCGAAGGCGGCUCUCUGGGCCGAUACCGACGCUGAGGAGCGAAAGCGUGGGGAGCAAACAGGAUUAGAUACCCUGGUAGUCCACGCCGUAAACGUUGAUCACUAGAUGUGGCGGACUCAUUGACGUCUGCCGUGUCGGAGCUAACGCAUUAAGUGAUCCGCCUGGGGAGUACGGCCGCAAGGCUAAAACUCAAAGGAAUUGACGGGGCCCCGCACAAGCGGCGGAGCAUGCGGCUUAAUUCGAUGCAACCCGAAGAACCUUACCUGGGUUUGACAUCAUGGGAAAAACUGUAGAGAUACAGUGUGCGUAAGCGUCCAUGACAGGUGGUGCAUGGMUGUCGUCAGCUCGUGUCRUGAGAURWWGGGUWAAGUCCCGCAACRAGCGRAACCCUCGUCCUAUGUUGWCAGCG
rnacentral:rRNA from 1 species